rnacentral:rRNA from 1 species
CGCCUGUUUAUCAAAAACAUGUCUUUUUGUUAAUUAUUUAAAGUCUGGCCUGCUCAAUGAUUAAUUUAAUAGCCGCAGUAUUUUGACUGUGCAAAGGUAGCAUAAUCAUUAGUUUUUUAAUUGAAAGCUGGAAUGAAUGGUCGGAUAAGGAAACUUCUGUCUCAUCUUGAUUGAAUAAAAUUUUAUUUUUAAGUUAAAAAGCUUAAAUUUUAUAGAAAGACGAGAAGACCCUAUAGAGUUUAAUAAGAUAAUGUUUUAGUUGUAUUAGGUUUUAAAUACUGCUAUUUCACGACUUAUUUUGUUGGGGUGACAUAAGAAUUUGAUGAACUUCUUUUUUUAAAAACAUUGAUUUAUGAGUAUUUGAUCCUGAGUUUUGGAUUUAAAGAAUAAAUUACCUUAGGGAUAACAGCGUAAUUUUUUUAGAGAGUUCUUAUCGAUAAAAGAGAUUGCGACCUCGAUGUUGGAUUAAAGUUAAAUUUUGGUGCAGAAGCUAGAAUUUUA